GCAAGUGGCGGGUCUUACCAUGCAGGUCGACGAACCUUUCGGGGUUAGUGGCGGACGGGUGAGUAACGCGUGAGAAUCUGCCCUCAGGAGGGGGAUAACGACUGGAAACGGUCGCUAAUACCCCAUAUGCCGAGAGGUGAAAUGAAUUUCGCCUGAGGAUGAGCUCGCGUCUGAUUAGCUAGUUGGUGGGGUAAAGGCCUACCAAGGCGACGAUCAGUAGCUGGUCUGAGAGGAUGAUCAGCCACACUGGGACUGAGACACGGCCCAGACUCCUACGGGAGGCAGCAGUGGGGAAUUUUCCGCAAUGGGCGAAAGCCUGAUCCAGCCAUGCCGCGUGAGGGAUGAAGGCCUACGGGUUGUAAACUUCUUUUCUCAAGGAGGAAGAUCUGACGUUACUUGAGGAAUAAGCAUCGGCUAACUUCUGUGCCAGCAGCCGCGGUAAUACAGGGGAUGCAAGUGUUAUCCGGAAUUAUUGGGCGUAAAGCGUCUGCAGGUGGAUUUUUAAGUCUUUUGUUAAAUGUUUGGGCUUAACCCAAAAUCUGCAAAAGAAACUAUUGAUCUUGAGUCUGGUAGAGGUAGAAGGAAUUUCCAGUGGAGCGGUGAAAUGCGUAGAGAUUGGAAAGAACACCAAAAGCGAAGGCAUUCUACUGGGCCAUGACUGACACUCAGAGACGAAAGCUAGGGGAGCAAACAGGAUUAGAUACCCUGGUAGUCCUAGCUGUAAACGAUGGACACUAGAUGUUGUUGAUUCACUGAAUCAGCAGUGUCGUAGCUAACGCGUUAAGUGUCCCGCCUGGGAAGUAUGCUCGCAAGAGUGAAACUCAAAGGAAUUGACGG
rnacentral:rRNA from 1 species